UUGGUGUCAGUUUCCUCAUGAGAGAGGCUCUUCUGUGACUGUGACAGAAGACACAAAAUCAGGGGUCACACUGUUUGGGUUUGAAUCCUGGCUUUAGUGCACACUAGCUGCAUCCCCUGGAAAGUUAGUUAACCUCACGAAGCCCGAGUACCUUUAUCUGUAAAAUGGGCAUGCUAUUAUUAGUAGAUACUUCAGAGAGUGAUUGUGAAGAUUAAAUGAAGUAAUCCGUAUACAGGUUAGCAAAUUCCUAGAAAUAGGAUUAAUAGAGUGGGAGCCAAUCACUCUUAGGAAGACUGAUUCUUCUCCUCUUGGAGAAGGAAAACUUCCAUGGUUUCCAGGAAAGAGUGAUUCCUUCCUUCCAUGCAGAAGGAGCUCAAUCGGUGUAAAAGUCCUGGUAUCUUUCCUCCCUUUUACUUGUUGCACCUUUAAGGGGCAAGUAGGGUGGAGUAACCGACUUGACGGUAAAUUCAGGAAGAACAAACUGACCCUGCUUGGUUCAGUACCUCCCUUUCUUCCUCUUGAGCGUGAAUUGCCUGCAUGAAGUAUGUUUACUUCUCUGUGGCUCCAUGCUGUACAUUUUACAGGAGAGUGCCUCUCCAUUCGGAGAUCUGCUAUGAUUCAGGAUAUCUGUAACUCAGAGAGAGAGAGAGAAAUUCCUUAUUGGACUCAACAACAACUGUGUCUUUUGAUGCUGGUGAUGAUUAAAUUCCAUGUGUAUGAAAACACAUAGCAUAGCAUUUGGUCAAAUAUAGAUGUUUAUAAAUCA